UACAGAGGUCUCAAGCGUUGUUCGGAUUCAUUGGGCGUAAAGGGCGCGUAGGCGGCUUUAUAAGUCGGGGGUGAAAGCCUGUGGCUCAACCACAGAAUUGCCUUCGAUACUGUAGAGCUUGAGACCGGAAGAGGUAAGUGGAAUUCCCAGUGUAGAGGUGAAAUUCGUAGAUAUUGGGAAGAACACCAGUGGCGAAGGCGGCUAACUGGUCCGGUACUGACGCUGAGGUGCGAAAGCGUGGGGAGCGAACAGG
rnacentral:rRNA from 1 species